AAAAGCUGCACUGAUCUAGUUGCCACUCAAAUCCAUCCGCUACGUCAUCUUUCUCUCACACUGCCACAGGCAAUUUUGUUGGGGUGGUCGUCCGCCUUUGACAGUGAGCUCAACCUACUCUCCUCCGGUUGCUGAUGGAUGACAGAGACUGGUGUCUCCGAGGUAUACAUGUAACUGACGGCAUUAUGAACUGGGAAAUCUGCAGAGGCCAGGUGCCAGAAUCUCACUGGUCACCAUGUUCAGCUGCUCUUUUGAAAACAAGAGUUAAAGUCAAGAAAUAGACCAGACAUGCUUCUACAAUCUUCCAUGUUUGAGAACCUGGGGAAGAAUGAGCACGAGUGUGCCCUCACUGGUGAAAAAGAAAGAGGCUGGGCUGACUGACUGCUGUUCCUUGGGAAACACAACCAAACAAAGGAAUACCAAAUUGAAAGAAGGGCCCAACUCCAACAAAACCAUUUUUGAGUUCAAACGAAAGAACUGACAAUAUUUUUUGACGGAGUUGCACAGGAAAUCAAUUAACUCUCCUUGGCCAAAAUGGUAGAGUUGGGCCUUUCUUUUUAAUCCUAUUUCUGGUUUCCUGGAGGCCUGUUUGUAUCACACGUCAGUGAUCAGUGAUCUGUCACUGGUUCACCGACACUGAAACCUGCCUAAUGAAUAGUGUGAACCAGCCUCAUCCAGAUCUCUGUGAAACAUACAGGCCCUUUAUAGUUGACAGUAGAGGUACGGGCAUCACAGGCAAGGUGGCAGGGGGUACUUGCUAUCCAGAAAUUUAGAAUUAAAGGAAGAAAAGACAGAUAAAGAGAAACAAAAAAUACAGGGAAUGAAAAUGGUCAAAAUGGCCAACUUGUGUGAAAACGCCUUGGAAUUGACCCCUUGCAACGUUAAUGAUCGUUCUGCUGCUGAUUAAAGGUUUUGUGCCCUCAAAGGAAAAAUCCUGGCACCACCCGCACGUGGAGGCAACUUUGAACGAGUUUUGUGAACAAGCUCUCAUGUACA
rnacentral:misc_RNA from 1 species